CGUAAAAGGCAAUGGAGGUCCGAACACACAUCCGUUGAAAAGGGUGGUGAUGAGGUGUGGGUAGGGGAGAAAUUCCAAUCGAACCCGGAGAUAGCUGGUUCUCCUCGAAAUAGCUUUAGGGCUAGCCUCGGUUUAGUCUGCUGGAGGUAGAGCACUGAAUUUCCUAGGGGGCGUCAAAGCUUACCGAAGAAUAUCAAACUCCGAAUGCCAGCCAGAUGAUGACCGGGAGUCAGACUGCACGAGAUAAGUUGGGUAGUCAAAAGGGAAAGAGCCCAGACCACCGGCUAAGGUCCCAAAGUACGUGUUAAGUGGAAAAGGAUGUGGGAUUUCAAAGACAACCAGGAUGUUGGCUCAGAAGCAGCCAUACAUUCAAAGAGUGCGUAAUAGCUCACUGGUCGAGAGGUCCUGCGCCGAAAAUGUCCGGGGCUGAAACACGACACCGAAGCUGUGGAAUUGACGAAUGUUAAUUGGUAGAGGAGCAUUCUUAGCGGGAUGAAGCAGUACCGAAAGGAGCUGUGGACUUCUAAGAAGAGAGAAUGCCGGAAUGAGUAGCGAGAGAGAGGUGAGAAUCCUCUCGGCCGAAUAUCUAAGGUUUCCAGAGUAAAGCUGAUCUGCUCUGGGUAAGUCGGGACCUAAGGCGAGGUCGAAAGACGUAGUCGAUGGACAACAGGUUGAGAU
rnacentral:rRNA from 1 species